AGUGAACGCUGGCGGCAGGCUUAACACAUGCAAGUCGAACGCCCCGCAAGGGGAGUGGCAGACGGGUGAGUAACGCGUGGGAAUAUCCCCUUUGGUUCAGGAUAGCCCCGGGAAACUGGGAUUAAUACUGGAUAAGAUCUACGGAUGAAAGAUUUAUCGCCGAAGGAUUAGCCCGCGUAAGAUUAGCUAGUUGGUGAGGUAAUGGCUCACCAAGGCUACGAUCUUUAGCUGGUCUGAGAGGAUGAUCAGCCACACUGGAACUGAGACACGGUCCAGACUCCUACGGGAGGCAGCAGUGAGGAAUAUUGGACAAUGGGCGCAAGCCUGAUCCAGCCAUGCCGCGUGAGUGAUGAGGGCCCUAGGGUUGUAAAACUCUUUUAGUUGGGAAAAUAAUGAUGGUACCAACAGAAAAAGCUCCGGCUAACUUCGUGCCAGCCGCCGCGGUAA
rnacentral:rRNA from 1 species